GGUCAGGAUAGCUCAGUUGGUAGAGCAGAGGACUGAA
rnacentral:tRNA from 5 species